UACGUAGGGGGCAAGCGUUGUCCGGAAUCAUUGGGCGUAAAGCGCGCGUAGGCGGCCCGGUAAGUCCGCUGUGAAAGUCGGGGGCUCAACCCUCGGAUGCCGGUGGAUACUGUCGGACUAGAGUACGGAAGAGGCGAGUGGAAUUCCUGGUGUAGCGGUGAAAUGCGCAGAUAUCAGGAGGAACACCGGUGGCGAAGGCGGUUCUCUGGGCCUUACCUGACGCUGAGGAGCGAAAGCGUGGGGAGCAAACAGG
rnacentral:rRNA from 1 species